CGUUGGUGCCAUUUUGAUUUUGUCGUUUGCGCGUUGUCUCGAUCGUUUUGUGUGUUUGUGUGAGACUAACGUGUGUAUUGAUAUGGAACGAAAUAAAUUCCAGUUUGAUUACCACUUGAUUCUUGUAGCUUUUGGUGAAAGGACAAAAUAUGAAGAAGCGACAGAUGCCGAAAUAAUACAAAGUGUUACCCAUACGGAUAUGGUUUGAUGACUUCAGAUGGUGGACGGAAUAAAAAGAUUGCCAGUAGCCAACGACAAUAUCCGUUUCAAUUAUCUGCAGAUCCUGAUGACGAAGAUAAAGAAUUCGUGUAUAUUGAUACAUAUUUUAAUGUAGUUAAUGAACAAUGAAUAAAUUUUUUUAACUGAUUUUGAUCUAUUCAAUACAAAUAUAACCUUGUUAUACUCUUUCAGGAAAACCUUAUACAUAUAAAUAUAAUGUUCCUCAAAAAAUAUCUUGCGAGAUCUUUGAACAAUAUUUAGCAAGGGACUUUAUGAAAUACAAAUCCUCAAAAAUUUGGUAUUACUUUGAAGAUAUA